UAAGACAUGCAAGUCGAGCGGCAGCACGGACUUCGGUCUGGUGGCGAGUGGCGAACGGGUGAGUAACAUAUCGGAACGUAUCCAAUAAUGGGGGAUAACUAAUCGAAAGGUUGGCUAAUACCGCAUACGCCCUACGGGGGAAAGCUAGGGACCUUCGGGCCUGGCGUUAAUGGAGCGGCCGAUAUCUGAUUAGCUAGUUGGUGGGGUAAAGGCCCACCAAGGCGACGAUCAGUAGCUGGUCUGAGAGGACGACCAGCCACACUGGAACUGAGACACGGUCCAGACUCCUACGGGAGGCAGCAGUGGGGAAUUUUGGACAAUGGGCGCAAGCCUGAUCCAGCCAUUCGCGUGAGUGAAGAAGGCCUUCGGGUUGUAAAGCUCUUUCGCAAGGGAAGAAAACUUAGCCACUAACAUUGGCUGAGGUUGACGGUACCUUGAUAAGAAGCACCGGCUAACUACGUGCCAGCAGCCGCGGUAAUACGUAGGGUGCGAGCGUUAAUCGGAAUUACUGGGCGUAAAGCGUGCGCAGGCGGUUUUGUAAGUCAGAUGUGAAAUCCCCGAGCUCAACUUGGGAACUGCGUUUGAAACUACAAGACUAGAAUAUGUCAGAGGGGGGUAGAAUUCCACGUGUAGCAGUGAAAUGCGUAGAGAUGUGGAGGAAUACCAAUGGCGAAGGCAGCCCCCUGGGAUAAUAUUGACGCUCAUGCACGAAAGCGUGGGGAGCAAACAGGAUUAGAUACCCUGGUAGUCCACGCCCUAAACGAUGUCUACUAGUUGUUGGUGGAGUAAAAUCCAUGAGUAACGCAGCUAACGCGUGAAGUAGACCGCCUGGGGAGUACGGUCGCAAGAUUAAAACUCAAAUGAAUUGACGGGGGCCCGCACAAGCGGUGGAUUAUGUGGAUUUAAUUCGAUGCAACGCGAAAAACCUUACCUGGCCUUGACAUGUAGCGAACUUUCCAGAGAUGGAUUGGUGCUCGAAAGAGAACGCUAACACAGGUGCUGCAUGGCUGUCGUCAGCUCGUGUCGUGAGAUGUUGGGUUAAGUCCCGCAACGAGCGCAACCCUUGCCAUUAAUUGCCAUCAUUUAGUUGGGCACUUUAAUGGGACUGCCGGUGACAAACCGGAGGAAGGUGGGGAUGACGUCAAGUCCUCAUGGCCCUUAUGGCCAGGGCUUCACACGUAAUACAAUGGUCGGUACAGAGGGUUGCCAAGCCGCGAGGUGGAGCCAAUCCCAGAAAGCCGAUCGUAGUCCGGAUUGUAGUCUGCAACUCGACUACAUGAAGUCGGAAUCGCUAGUAAUCGCGGAUCAGCAUGUCGCGGUGAAUACGUUCCCGGGCCUUGUACACACCGCCCGUA
rnacentral:rRNA from 1 species